rnacentral:lncRNA from 12 species
UCUUUCCAGCUUGAGCAGCCAUAACACACAAAGCUAUUUCAGGAUGCAAGAGUCCUCUUCCUCCAGACUGUUUCCUGUUUCCAUGUUUCACUGCAUGCUGUGAUCACUGGAUGACAGGUAGUGACGGAAUAUAUCACUGCUGCAA